UACGAAGGGUGCAAGCGUUACUCGGAAUUACUGGGCGUAAAGGGCUCGUAGGUGGCCAACUAAGUCAGACGUGAAAUCCCUCGGCUUAACCGGGGAACUGCGUCUGAUACUGGAUGGCUUGAGUUCGGGAGAGGGAUGCGGAAUUCCAGGUGUAGCGGUGAAAUGCGUAGAUAUCUGGAGGAACACCGGUGGCGAAGGCGGCAUCCUGGACCGGCACUGACACUGAGGAGCGAAAGCCAGGGGAGCAAACGGG
rnacentral:rRNA from 1 species